rnacentral:lncRNA from 1 species
UGCCAUUCCAGUGACCACUGUUUCUACAAUGAGUCGGUUUCAUUUUUAACAAUUUGACUCAGUUCUCUUCAAAGGGGGCAGCAUGUUAUUUCUGCAUGAUUUUUGCGUGCCUGACUCUCUGCAGAGGGGUCAGUGCAAACUUGAACCCCUUGGGAUCCAGGCUCCUGGAGCAGCCUGGAUUCUCCUGGUGGUGGGAGGUGUGCUCCUUAAGCGCUGCAGAACUGGAGCUGCCAGCCAUACAUCUGUUCUGCAAAACAUGACCUGUGCUUUCAGCCAUCUGAAGACACCAUGUUAAGCACAGCUCCUUCUACAGUGAGCCAAUGCUUGAGAUUUUUAAACUAUCCUGGAGGUUAUAUGAGCAAAAAGACUGGUGCAUUCAGCAAUUUGAGUGGACAAGCUGCAAGCAGAGACCAAGAUGCAGCACUUGAGCCUCACAGUUCAGAAGCUUCAGAGCCAGCACCCUGCAGGAUUUUAUCUGCUGUGAUUUACAGAAAGGAAGUAAACUUUGGAACAAGACAGACAUUCAUGCCAGUUGUACGUGGAUAUUCUUCUGUCAGCAGUAUGCAGUUUGCUGCCGACCUCCUUUAAGUCCAGGCUCUGAUGUUCUCCAUCAUCCAGAGUCUGUAGUGGUUUUCAGUCUUUAAUCUCCAAAGUGCCCCAAGAACUGGAAAAUGGAAAGUGGAUAAAAUCUGGAAUUGGUGCAUGUGUAAUUUCCCCACACAACGAGUGUCAAGGCUUCUGUUUUUGCACACAAAGCUUGUGUUCUUCAUGAUUAAUAAAAUAAAUGAUAUCUUCCUAGUGUUCA